UCUGCUGUGAAAUCCCGAGGCUCAACCUCGGGUCUGCAGUGGGUACGGGCAGACUAGAGUGCGGUAGGGGAGAUUGGAAUUCCUGGUGUAGCGGUGGAAUGCGCAGAUAUCAGGAGGAACACCGAUGGCGAAGGCAGAUCUCUGGGCCGCUACUGACGCUGAGGAGCGAAAGGGUGGGGAGCAAACAGGCUUAGAUACCCUGGUAGUCCACCCCGUAAACGUUGGGCGCUAGAUGUGGGGACCAUUCCACGGUUUCCGUGUCGUAGCUAACGCAUUAAGCGCCCCGCCUGGGGAGUACGGCCGCAAGGCUAAAACUCAAAGGAAUUGACGGGGGCCCGCACAAGCGGCGGAGCAUGCGGAUUAAUUCGAUGCAACGCGAAGAACCUUACCAAGGCUUGACAUAUACGAGAACGGGCCAGAAAUGGUCAACUCUUUGGACACUCGUAAACAGGUGGUGCAUGGUUGUCGUCAGCUCGUGUCGUGAGAUGUUGGGUUAAGUCCCGCAACGAGCGCAACCCUCGUUCUAUGUUGCCAGCACGUAAUGGUGGGAACUCAUGGGAUACUGCCGGGGUCAACUCGGAGGAAGGUGGGGACGACGUCAAAUCAUCAUGCCCCUUAUGUCUUGGGCUUCACGCAUGCUACAAUGGCCAGUACAAAGGGCUGCAAUACCGUAAGGUGGAGCGAAUCCCAAAAAGCUGGUCCCAGUUCGGAUUGAGGUCUGCAACUCGACCUCAUUAA
rnacentral:rRNA from 1 species